rnacentral:misc_RNA from 1 species
UGUUAUCUCUGUCGUUUAAAAUAGAAAAAGAGUAAAUAUUUUUGUUUAGCUAAUCGGGAAAGAUUUGAACGGUCGUCUGUUCCCUUUAUAAACGAGAUUUUGCGAUAUUUUACAAACAUAUAACAUAACAAAGUCGAGGAAAUGAUGCAAAUUUAAUAGUGUAGUUUCAUUGUGCACAAAGUUAAACGUGUAUUGGAUAUUAUAUACAUUCUUGCAUAACAGUAUAUUUACCUGUGUGAAUAAGCACUUUUAUUUGUUUGUUCUUUCAUGUUUACACUUUUUGUUACAAAUAUAUAUAUUACUUUAACUUUACCGAGUGCGAAACAAAUUUCAUAACUAAGUAGAAAAGGACAGAUUAAAAAAGGCAAUUGUUGGCGUAUAGCUGAAUGGUUUAGCAAGCGACUAUGGGGAAAAUUAGAUACUGCUGCAGAGGCAGUGGGAAUAGCCCCGGAAUCAUGGACAUGACGCCACAAUUUGUGCUUAACACUUUACUUCUUGGAGAUUAUAAUGUCGGGAAAACUUCAAUUAUACACCUACUGACAGGAAUGAAAAAGUGCCCAAAGCUGGUUGAACGUUACUGUCCGCUGUCUGUAAGUGUACAAUCUUAAUCGGAAAGGGAAACACGUGCUUCUGAAAAUCACAGACACAGGGAGGCCAAGAGAAGUUCCGAAGUCUAACAGCGUCUUAUUAUAGGGGAGCGCACGGAUGUCUCGUGCUGUUUGACGUAACGAAGGAGAGCACGUUCAACAAUCUCACUUACUGGCUUCAUGAUCUGAAAGAAUACUCCACA